ACCCCCUGGACUUCCAAGGACCACAAGGGACUACCGGGGUCCAGCAGAUUUUCCGGGACAGUCAGGUUUCAAGGGUGACAGAGGCUUACCUGGACUUGAUGACCUUCCAGGCGUACCCGGACCCCCAGGCGCUCCAGGACUCAUUGGCCUCCCUGGGGCAAAAGGAGAACCAGGAGACUUUACUUAUGAUUCCAUCCUGAAAGGUGAGAAGGGAGAUCCUGGUUUCCCAGGACAACCAGGUAUUCCUGGAAGAGAAGGAACACCAGGAAAAGACGGAUUGCCAGGUCCUCAAGGUCCAAAAGGAGCAUCGGGUACAGCUGGCUUGAAAGGAG
rnacentral:misc_RNA from 1 species